rnacentral:rRNA from 1 species
UGAGUACGAGAUGCUACGGCAUCGAAGCAGUCUAUGUCAUACUUCCAAGAAAAGCUUGCAAUGUCAUAAACAAAUAAUGCCUGUACCAUAACCGACACAGGUGGGUAGGUAGAGUAUACUAAGGGGCGCGAGAUAACUCUCUCUAAGGAACUCGGCAAAAUGACUCCGUAACUUCGGGAGAAGGAGUGCCUUAUUUUUAUAAGGUUGCAAUAACAAGAUCCAAGCAACUGUUUACCAAAAACACAGGUCUCCGCUAAGUCGUAAGACGAUGUAUGGGGGCUGACGCCUGCCCAGUGCCAGAAGGUUAAAGAAGUUGGUUAGCAUUAGCGAAGCUGAUAACUGAAGCCCUGGUGAACGGCGGCCGUAACUAUAACGGUCCUAAGGUAGCGAAAUUCCUUGUCGGGUAAGUUCCGACCCGCACGAAAGGCGUAAUGAUUUGGAUACUGUCUCGGAGAGGGGCUCGGUGAAAUAGACUUGUCUGUGAAGAUGCGGACUACCUGCACCUGGACAGAAAGACCCUAUGAAGCUUUACUGUAACUUGAGAUUGAAAUUGGACUUUAUCUGCGCAGUAUAGGUGGGAGACGUUGAAAAUAUUCUUGCGGGAAUAUUGGAGUCAUCAGUGAGAUACCACUCUUAUAAUGUUAGAUUUCUAACUUUGUAUCAUUAUCUGGUCAAAGAACAGUUUCAGGCGGGCAGUUUGACUGGGGCGGUCGCCUCCCAAACGGUAACGGAGGCGCACAAAGGUUUCCUCUGAACGUGUAGAAAUCGUAUCUAGAGUGUAAAGGCAUAAGGAAGCUUGACUGUGAGACCUACAAGUCGAGCAGGGACGAAAGUCGGUCUUAGUGAUCUGACGGUGCUGAGUGGAAAGGCCGUCACUCAACGGAUAAAAGUUACUCUAGGAUAACAGGCUGAUCUCCCCCAAGAGUUCACAUCGACGGGGAGGUUUGGCACCUCGAUGUCGGCUCAUCGCAUCCUGGGGCGGUAGUACGUCCCAAGGGUUGGGCUGUUCGCCCAUGAAAGCGGUACGCGAGCUGGGUUCAGAACGUCGUGAGACAGUUCGGUCCAUAUCCGGUGUAGGCGUUAGAAUAUUGAGAGGAGCCUUCUUUAGUACGAGAGGACCGAGAAGGACAUACCUCUGGUGUACCAGUUAUCGUGCCAACGGUAAACGCUGGGUAGCCAUGUAUGGAGAGGAUAACCGCUGAAAGCAUCUAAGUGGGAAGCCCACCUCAAGAUAAGUAUUCUCA